GUGAGGAAUAUUGGUCAAUGGGCGAGAGCCUGAACCAGCCAAGUCGCGUGAAGGAAGAAGGAUCUAUGGUUCGUAAACUUCUUUUGCAGGGGAAUAAAGUGCAGGACGUGUCCUGUUUUGUAUGUACCCUGAGAAUAAGGAUCGGCUAACUCCGUGCCAGCAGCCGCGGUAAUACGGAGGAUCCGAGCGUUAUCCGGAUUUAUUGGGUUUAAAGGGUGCGUAGGUGGUUUGAUAAGUCAGCGGUGAAAGUUUGCAGCUUAACUGUAAAAAUGCCGUUGAAACUGUCGGACUUGAGUGUAAAUGAGGUAGGUGGAAUGCGUGGUGUAGCGGUGAAAUGCAUAGAUAUCACGCAGAACUCCGAUUGCGAAGGCAGCUUACUAAGCUACAACUGACACUGAAGCACGAAAGCGUGGGGAUCAAACAGGAUUAGAAACCCUGGUAGUCC
rnacentral:rRNA from 1 species